GUUUUCUCUCUUACAGUAAGCGCCUGACACUGACAAUGUGGACAUCAGCGAGGAAUAUAUAGUGUAGGCUAUCAUCAAAAUUCGCAUCGUGUUAUCAGCGCAUUCAACUUCAUUAUUACCAGAGUGGUGAGUGGAAGGAGAGAGUCCUGCCUUCCCCCCUCCCUUCCCAUUCCAUCAUCCGUAGAGCAUCUUUCAUGCGUCUCCCUGGGCCCCAAUCCCACGUCAGAAUGAAUUGUGAGCAGGAUUUUGGAGAUGGAGGCAUGAACGUCACUCUAACUCUCCGGCUGCUCAUGCACGGCAAGGAGGUCGGCAGCAUCAUAGGCAAGAAAGGAGAGACUGUGAAAAGGAUACGAGAGGAGAGCAGUGCACGUAUCAAUAUCUCAGAAGGCUCGUGCCCAGAGAGAAUCAUCACCAUCACGGGCGCCACAGAGUGUGUGUUAAGAGCCUUCACUAUGAUCACAAUCAAACUGGAGGAGGACUUGGCUGCUCUUGUGGCGAACGGCACAGUCACCAGUAAGCCUCCAGUCACGCUGCGACUGGUCAUCCCGGCCAGCCAGUGCGGUUCCCUCAUAGGCAAGGGCGGCUCCAAAAUCAAAGAGAUCAGAGAGAAAACAGGGGCUCAGGUACAGGUGGCAGGAGAUCUGCUCCCUAACUCCACAGAGAGAGGUGUGACGAUAUCUGGGAGCCAGGACGCUAUCAUCCAGUGUGUCAAGCUCAUCUGCACUGUAAUACUAGAGUCUCCUCCAAAGGGUGCUACAAUUCCAUACCGCCCCACUCCAGCUCCAGGCGCAGUGCUUCUUGCUGGAAAUCAGGUUUUCGAAACAUCAGAGUUUGCGUCUCACCCGCUUUUCUCAGUGACUCAGGGAGGGCUGGAUCUGCAGCAAGCUUAUACUGUACAAAACCAAUACGGCAUUCCACACUCAGAGUUGGCCAAGUUGCACCAGUUGUCCAUGCAGCAGGGUCUUGCCCCCUUAGCUCAACCCACAGCCACCCAAGUUCUGUCUGGCAUCGAGUCCAGUUCCCAGACAGCAUCACAAGAACUUCUCAUUCCAAAUGACCUGAUUGGUUCAAUAAUCGGCAGACAGGGUACAAAAAUCAACGAGAUUCGCCAGGUGUCAGGAGCUCAGAUCAAGAUCGGCAGUCAAAUGGACAGCACUAGUGACCGACAUGUCACCAUCACAGGCUCUCCAAUCAGCAUCAACUUGGCCCAGUAUCUAAUCACAUCCUGUUUAGAGACCGCCAAAUCCACUGCCCAGUCCUCCUCCAUGUCGACCCCUGUAGACCUCAACAUGAGCUUCACCCAGACUGCUCCCCCUGCAUCGUCCUCUGCCGCAGCCCUGGCAGCGAUGGGCGGCCUGCCCCACGCUCCAAUCUUGGGCGCCCCCUAUACCCUUCCCCUCUCCAGCCUCCUGGGAAUCAAAUCCGUCCCCUUCCUGGCACUCUCGGCCCCUGCUGCCCCUGCCCACAGCACCUUGGCCUCCUACACCGCCAAGAUCUCCUCCGCCAAUGGCAUCAAGAAACCAGAGAGGCAGAAGUUUGCGCCCUACUGAAGAGGAACUACCGAGUACCUCCUUUGUUUCCGAGAAAACGACCGGAGAGGAAUACUUUAAGGUUCUUCUCUUCUAGCCUGAUGUAGCGGUGUAUAUUUUGGUUUAAUAGCUUGUCCUGAAAAACUGUAGGAAAAUAAUCGCAUAAAUUUGAAAAAGGUUUUUUUUUGGGGGGGGGGCGAGGUAGCCGCUAAAGCCAUAGACUAUUCCUAAUCUCCUAUUUUCCCGAAAUCUUUACACGUUUAUUGUCUGCUCUUAUUUAUUGAUAACGAAAUAUUCCCGCAAAGAGUUUAUAACGUAGAACACUGUUGACUGAUGCUAAUCUCUUAUGUAUCAGUUUUUAUACAAUGAUGUCUGUGAAUGCUUCUGUAUACAACUUCCUGAUUUUUUAGAAAUCUUUAAAUGAUGUAUUAAAACAAAAUAUGAAAAAAAGGAAAUGUUUUUAAAAUGACAACAGAUCUAAGCAUUGUUUUUGCGUUACAUUUUUACGUUUUGUUCACAUUCGUUUUGAAAUGUUAUUUAUUUUAUUUAUUGUGCGGAGUGUUUCUUUUACAGUUACUGUUGGUUUUCUGUAACGGCUGCAGGAAAAAAAAUAUCUUUUCAAAUCUCUUCCAUUCAAUCAUGGUUACAAACGUCCUGAAAAAUACACGUCUAAGUAACCACAAACAAGAUAGCGGUUUAAGUAGUGAGUUUCUUUACUUUCUAUGGGAAGUGUAUAGUGCCACGGUGAAUUCUGGCGUGAUUAAAUAUCCAAAAUAUGAAACCGCUAGCAAAUUCAUUUCAAAACUUUGGCUAGCUAUGGCUGAGUAUGGACAAUAUUGUUUCAGGGGGUUUCUUUCACCAUUUCUAAUGGCAUAAAAUGACUACUAUGCAUGGUGACUGCCCUUGUCGGAAACUAAUGCUGUAUGUUGACUUGGCCCCUCACACGUACACACUAGCAAAUAUAGCUAAUGCGUAGGUCUCUUUGUUGAUGGUGAUAAAAACAGGCAGUGUUGCAGAAGAGCAAUAUUGGUUUGAAAAUGCUAAAGUACACAUAUAGCAAGACCUACACAUAAACAUGCUUCAAGUGUAGCUACAGUAACCAUUAUGCUCGAUCACGGAGUAUAUUACGUGGACUGACUUCUUUUUUUUUUUUUUUUAAUAUAGAAAUAAUCACACUUAUUUUUCUAAACCUAGAGUCCUAAAAAUUGAAUGUGACCACUCACACGAUUCACUCACUUGGUAGAUGUAGUGUAACCUUGACUCGUGUUUGUCAUUUUUUUCUUUAUCGUAAUGUUUUUGUUUUGUCUUGUUUAGAUUUUCUCAAACGUCUUUCCCAUACUCAUUUGCAUGAAUUUAACUUGGCGUCUAUGCAAAACAUUUCGGGGGCGGUUCAGCAAGGUAUCUUAUGUCAUGCUUCAUAGAUGGCCCUAAAUAAACCACCGUUGGGAAAGGGCUAUCAGCAAAGGCGGAACCCAAGACAAGGACAAUGAUGCUCUCGCAAUUUAUGAACCAUGCUAUGUAUAAUAUAUAUACAUAAAUAUAUAUAUGUUAUAUUAUAUCCAUAUUUCCCAUUCCAAAGCCUAACACAUAACCACCCUUUCACACAUUAUAUGAAACGACACAGUGUGGCUAUGACACGCACUGUCACACUUCACCGCGAUAAUUCCACGAUAGCCGGACAUGGUUCGAAAACUGUUCAGAUGCUUGAAUUAUCCGAGGUCUGGUUUUUGGAUUCACAUGAGGUUUCGUUUGUCAGCCUUGGCAUAAAUGCAACUCUUGUUUUAGUCUUAUUCAUCAAUGCCAUACAAAGGAAUAAAAACAAUACUGUAUUAACGUAA